CCCAGGCCUAAUUCCAUUUCUUGGGAUCGUCCAUUCUCUGACUCACGACAGGGUAUAGGAGGCCUAACCAAUUAUGAGCACAAAGGAGAGAUUAAGUGAACCAGUAAGUGUUUAGUCCAAGUGGGCCUGGAUUCAGUUUGCCAAUCCUACCACAUGGGGACGAUAGGAAGCAAGAGGGGUAGUUACAAUAUGCCUUUCUAAUACGCAAUGACUGCCAACGGUAGCCCAGACAGUAUUCCAGAAGUUGACAAAACAUAGACGCUCCUCCUUGGGAUUGAAAUGUAUGGGGGUGGGGGGAAGAGCGAGAAGGGAGAGUGAAAGAAGAGGAUAGAGAUUUUCUUUCUACUUCAAAAUACAUCUUUCCAGUCACUUUGGUCCCCUGGUUUGUGAUGCAGAGUCCUUCAUUCAGUUUCCAGUGCAACCCUUUCUGAUGAAUUCACCCCAGAGUCACUUUUACUAUCAUGGGAUCCAUCAUAUUAAAACGGCACUUAGGAGCUGGGUGAGGCAGUGAGGAGGACAAUGGAAAGACUGAGCAGCAAGAAGAGAGGAGGGUGAGGUGGGAACCCACAUGGCUGAGUGGAAAAAGUUAACUGAACUGCCUUGGAAAUAGGCUCCACAUAUUUUUGGAUCAAGCCUUAGUGUUCUAUCUCGUGUGUUUGACAGAGCGGAUUAUGUUUUAACUUUUCUUCCUCUACCUGACAAAGUUAUUUUGAGGAAUAAUCAUGAAAUGAAACAAAUAAUUAAUGGCCAGGAAACUUUAAGUAGUGAACAUUUUCUUUCACUAACCCUUAUAUGGUCAUGUCAGUAAAAAUAAAUAAAUGAAAAUAAACAUGCCAUUUCAGAUUA